rnacentral:rRNA from 1 species
GAUGAACGCUGGCGGCGUGCCUAAUACAUGCAAGUCGAGCGAACAGACGAGGAGCUUGCUCCUUUGACGUUAGCGGCGGACGGGUGAGUAACACGUGGGUAACCUACCUAUAAGACUGGGAUAACUUCGGGAAACCGGAGCUAAUACCGGAUAAUAUUUCGAACCGCAUGGUUCGAUAGUGAAAGAUGGCUUUGCUAUCACUUAUAGAUGGACCUGCGCCGUAUUAGCUAGUUGGUAAGGUAACGGCUUACCAAGGCAACGAUACGUAGCCGACCUGAGAGGGAGAUCGGACACACUGGAACUGAGACACGGUCCAGACUCCUACGGGAGGAAGCAGUAGGGAAUCUUACGCAAUGGGCGAGAGCCUGAUAGAGCAAAGCCGCGUGAGGGAUGAAGGACUUCGGAUCGUAAAGCUCUGUAAGUAGGGAAGAACAAAAGUGUAAGUAACUGUGCACGUAUUGACGGUACCUAAUCAAAAAGCCACGGCUAACUACGUG